rnacentral:misc_RNA from 1 species
GAUGAAGAACGUAGCGAAAUGCGAUAAGUAAUGUGAAUUGCAGAAUUCAGUGAAUCAUCGAAUCUUUGAACGCACAUUGCGCCCGCCAGUAUUCUGGCGGGCAUGCCUGUUCGAGCGUCAUUACAACCCUCAGGCCCCCGGGCCUGGCGUUGGGGAUCGGCGGAGCCCCCCGUGGGCACACGCCGUCCCCCAAAUGCAGUGGCGGUCCCGCCGCAGCUUCCAUCGCGUAGUAGCUAACACCUCGCGACUGGAGAGCGGCGCGGCCACGCCGUAAAACACCCAACUCUUCUGAAGUUGACCUCGAAUCAGGUAGGAAUACCCACUGAACUUAAGCAUAUCAAUAAGCGGAGGA